AUCUCGGCUCACUGCAACCUCCGUCUCCUGGGUUCAAAUGAUUCUCCUGCCUCGGCCAUGAUGCUCAAUUUCUAAUACUAAUUGCCUAUUUUACUGUCUGUUACAGCUUCAUUGUAGGAGGUGUGAAAGAGGAGGGAAAUUGUGUUGGAAGAGGAGAUUAGGACAUCAAGAGACACCAGGAGUACCCAUGCACAG